CCUGUGUAAAGAAAAAGACUCUCGAUUGGAAAAUCACUCACCUUUACUCCCGUGUCGGCCAGGGGACCCGGGAAGUCCUGAUGUGAUUAAAAACAGACAGCAAGUUCCCUGAAGGUUCGUGGACAGAUUCUAUCUCAUCCUUCUGUAUUUUUCCCACCGGCAGUGACUGAAACAGCACCCAUUUCCAAGAAGCAGCAUACUGACCUGGGGGUCCGUGGGGGCCCGGCGAGCCACUGGAACCUGAGGAGGAGGAAGAGAAGAUGGGCAGAGGGUCCGGUGCUGACGGGCAGGUGAGGGUGGAGGGAGCUCACUUCCGGGGAGGACUGUGUGGG